GAACGCUAGCUACAGGCUUAACACAUGCAAGUCGAGGGGCAGCAUGAUCAAAGCUGCUUGGUGAUGGCGACCGGCGCACGGGUGAGUAACGCGUAUCCAACCUUCCCUUAGUAGGGCAUAGCCCGUAGAAAUGCGGAUUAAUACCCUAUGUUGUUCGUAAAAGAGGACAUCUGAAAUGAACCAAAGGUUUACCGCUAAGGGAUGGGGAUGCGUCUGAUUAGGUAGUCGGCGGGGUAACGGCCCACCGAGCCUUCGAUCAGUAGGGGUUCUGAGAGGAAGGUCCCCCACAUUGGAACUGAGACACGGUCCAAACUCCUACGGGAGGCAGCAGUGAGGAAUAUUGGUCAAUGGGCGCGAGCCUGAACCAGCCAAGUAGCCGUGCAGGAUGACGGCCCUAUGGGUUGUAAACUGCUUUUAUACGGGGAUAAAGUAGGGAACGUGUUCCCUUUUGCAGGUACUGUAUGAAUAAGGACCGGCUAAUUCCGUGCCAGCCGCAGC
rnacentral:rRNA from 1 species